rnacentral:lncRNA from 1 species
CACUUUAGGAAGUGGCAUGGAAACAUGCUUCAGUGCUUGCAAAUCUGAAUGGAAACACAAUUGUUAACCCUGAAUAACGUUGCCUGGCCCAAAAUUCCCAUUCGGGCAGCCACCGUCGAGCAUCACACGAAAAAGC